GCGGGAAUAGCUCAGUGGUAGAGCACAACCUUGCCAAGGUUGGGGUCGCGGGUUCAACCCCCGUUUCCCGCUCCA
rnacentral:tRNA from 2 species